UGGGGAUGCCACCUUCGAGGGAGCCCUUCUCUCCAUUUUGAAAGCCUGUCUUCCUUCAUUCAAAGACCACAGAGCCCACUGGGUGCAGAGGCAGAGAGAAGAGAGAAAGACAUGGCAGCCAACAAGACCAGCCUCUGCAGAUAUCACCAAAUACCUGCCGUGCAUGUGGUGGCCAGUGUUUCAGAGCCUGGGACCAAAAGAGAGAGCAGGCAGGCAAAGAAAAACAAACUCGAUCAAGACCCCAAGAUGGAAACAUCCACACCUUAGCAGAGUCAGCCCUUGCCUUCUUGAAGCUCAUCACGGUGAUGUUGGAGUUCAGACUCACUUUAAGCAAGUCCUUUACGUGUGUGUACAAAGUGUGCCAUCACAGAGGAGAGCCUGGGGCUUCUGGAUCAACAGCCAGCAUUAGCAAGUGGGUGUUUAGACAGCUUAGUCAGGGCUUGGGGGCUCACUGCCCCAGUGGGACAGUAGCAGCACC